UUCCUUGGACUUCACAGCCACAUCUUCAGCAUUUUUAGCUGGAUUUUAACCUUUCCCAUCUGAAGACAGCCAUGGAAUCGACGGUCGAUGACGAUGCGAUGGAAGCGUGAAUGAGGUUUGGCGUGGCAAUAGCUGAACGAUGCCCAAGGGUGGGGGUUCUAAAACCCCCCAGCUGGAGGACUUCCCAUCCAACACCGACAUGGUGGAAAAGCAGUGUGGGAAGAAGGAUAAAGACAAAGGCUCGUCAAACAAGACUCCUAAAUUGGACCACAGCGAUGGUGUCAAAGAGAUGAAAGAGAAAGCUCCUAAGAGGAAGCUGCCCUUCACUGUUGGAGCCAAUGGGGAUCAGAAAGAUUCUGACUCUG